AUCCAGCUGACGAGUCCCAAAUAGGACGAGACGCGCAUUCUGGAA
rnacentral:hammerhead_ribozyme from 1 species